CGGGAAGUAGCUCAGCUUGGUAGAGCACUUGGUUUGGGACCAAGGGGUCGCAGGUCCGAAUCCUGUCUUCCCGA
rnacentral:tRNA from 1 species